rnacentral:rRNA from 1 species
AGUGAACGCUGGCGGUAGGCCUAAGACAUGCCAGUCGAACGGCAGCACAGUAAGAGCUUGCUCUUACGGGUGGCGAGUGGCGGACGGGUGAGGAAUACAUCGGAAUCUACUUUUUCGUGGGGGAUAACGUAGGGAAACUUACGCUAAUACCGCAUACGACCUACGGGUGAAAGCAGGGGAUCUUCGGACCUUGCGCGAUUGAAUGAGCCGAUGUCGGAUUAGCUAGUUGGCGGGGUAAAGGCCCACCAAGGCGACGAUCCGUAGCUGGUCUGAGAGGAUGAUCAGCCACACUGGAACUGAGACACGGUCCAGACUCCUACGGGAGGCAGCAGUGGGGAAUAUUGGACAAUGGGCGCAAGCCUGAUCCAGCCAUACCGCGUGGGUGAAGAAGGCCUUCGGGUUGUAAAGCCCUUUUGUUGGGAAAGAAAAGCAGCAGGUUAAUACCCCGCUGUUCUGACGGUACCCAAAGAAUAAGCACCGGCUAACUUCGUG